rnacentral:rRNA from 1 species
CCUACGUGAGGCAGCAGUGGGGAAUAUUGCACAAUGGGGGAAACCCUGAUGCAGCGACGCCGCGUGAGUGAAGAAGUCAUUCGUUAUGUAAAGCUCUAUCAGCAAGGAAGAAAAUGACGGUACCUGAGUAAGAAGCCCCGGUUAACUACGUGCCAGCAGCCGCGAUAAUACGUAGGGGGCAAGCGUUAUCCGGAUUUACUGGGUGUAAAGGGAGCGUAGACGGCAGUGCAAGUCUGGAGUGAAAGGCGUGGGGUGAACCCCUGGACUGCUCUGGAAACUGUACGGCUUGAGUGCAGGGGAGGUACGUGGAAUUCCUAGUGUAGCGGUGAAAUGCGUAGAUAUUAGGAGGAACACCAGUCGCGAAGGCGUUGUACCGGACUUUAACUGACGUUGAGGCUCGAAAGUGUGGGGAGCAAACAGGAUUAGAUACCCCGGUAGUC